AAUAAGACAAACCCAAUACAACAAACAGCAGAUCACCAAAAACAGUAUCAACGAAAAUGUUCGAUGCGCUAAAGAUCGUCCUCCUAUUGGCCAUGGCCGCCUUGACGCUCGGACACCCCACGCCCUACGACGACCACGAGUCAGCUGGAUCAGAACCACACGGGAGGGUGCAGAUAAAGGUGUUCAGGGGUCCAACGGAACAGGACGGACUCGACACUUUCGCCCCUUGGGGAUAUUGGGUCAAGCAACCCUCGGACGACCAUUGAAACCCUCAUUUUGUUAUUUAUAAUUUAUAGUUAGGUUAGUUAAUAAAAAAAAUUAUUAUUAUUAUUA